ACCUUUGUCCGAUGAUGAAUCCAUUUCGUAUAUCCUUGCUGGUUUAGGAUCAGAUUUUGAUCCUUUCGUGACUUCUGUCACAACACGUCUCGACCCUAUGAGCAUUGAGGAGCUGUAUAAUCACCUUCUCACUCAUGAGA